rnacentral:antisense_RNA from 1 species
AGAGGUCAGAGUGCUGCAAUCUGAGAACUCAACCUGGCUUUGAACACAGAAGAAGGAAACUUUGAACACAGAAGAAGGAAUCCAGGAAUGUGAGCAGCCUCAGAAAGCCAAAAAAGGGCUUGCCCCAAGGGAGACCUCAGCUUCUAGAUGGAGGGAGGUCUUGCUAGCAGUUACCAGAAUAAGAGAAACUGCCAUGGUAAUUAACAACCUGCUGCUGUGGGAAUCCAAAUAGAGUCUGAGCAAUGUGUUUACAAUGCUUGGAGACAUAAUAGUGAGAUCAUCUCCCUGGUAGCAGGAACCAGGCUUCACCCUUCAUUCCGUUUAAAGAGACCAUGUAGAAAAGUGAUUAUGGCCAGCGACUCUGCAGCCAAACUGCCUGGGUUCAAAUCUCAGCUUUGCCAUUGACUUACUAGCUCUGUAACCUUGGACAAUCUACUUUGUUUCUCUGUGUUCCAGUUUCCCCAUGUGUAAAAUCUUUUACUAAAGUGAAGGAGGGCUAAUGAAGAUAAAAAUGUUGUUCCCCUCAUGAUGGCCAGACAAGAGGAGGAAGA